GAUGAACGCUGGCGGUAUGCCUAACACAUGCAAGUCGAACGGUGUUUUCGGACAUAGUGGCGGACGGGUGAGUAACGCGUGAGAAUCUGCCUUCAGGAUGGGGAUAACAGGGAGAAAUCGCUGCUAAAACCCAAUGUGCCGAAAGGUGAAAUACUUGUAGCCAGAAGAGGAGCUCGCGUCCGAUUAGUUAGUUGGUGGGGUAAGAGCCUACCAAGGCAGCGAUCGGUAGCUGGUCUGAGAGGAUGAGCAGCCACACUGGGACUGAGACACGGCCCAGACUCCUACGGGAGGCAGCAGUGGGGAAUUUUCCGCAAUGGGCGAAAGCCUGACGGAGCAAUACCGCGUGAGGGAGGAAGGCUUUUGGGUUGUAAACCUCUUUUGUUAAGGAAGAAGAAAGUGACGGUACUUAAAGAAUAAGCAUCGGCUAACUCCGUGCCAGCCGCCGCGGUAA
rnacentral:rRNA from 1 species